GAGCCUGGGUGCUUCGGCGCCCGACCUCCAACCCUUUGUUUACCUUGCCACUGUUGCCUCGGCGCUAGGGGGAAACCCCUUCGCCGGUGGCCAAUUUAUAAAACCCUUUUUUAAACCAGUCUUCUGAGAAAUUAUUUAAUAACUUCAAAACUUUCAACAACGGAUCUCUUGGUUCU
rnacentral:misc_RNA from 1 species